rnacentral:misc_RNA from 1 species
GAAAGGCGAGAAGUAAGGGGAAGGGCAGAAUUCCGUGAAUCAUCGAAUCUUGGAACGCACAUUGCGCCCUCUGGCAUUCCGGGGGGCAUGCCUGUCCGAGCGUCAUUACGCACCCUCAAGCCCGGUUUGUGUGAUGGGCCCCGGCGUCUCGUUCGCGAGACGGGCCCGAAAGGCAGCGGCGGCGUCGACCCGAUGAGCCCGAGCGUAUGGGGACUUCUGUCACACGUUCGCGGUGCGGACCGGCGCCUGCUUGACUUUUCUGAUUAUCCAGGUUGACCUCGGAUCAGGUAGGGAUACCCGCUGAACUUAAGC